ACGGGAGGUAGCAGUGGGGAAUAUUGGGCAAUGGGGGAAACCCUGACCCAGCAACGCCGCGUGGAGGAAGAAGGUCUUCGGAUCGUAAACUCCUGUCCUCAAAGACGAGAAGAAGACGGUAUUUGAGGAGGAAGCCCCGGCUAACUACGUGCCAGCAGCCGCGGUAAUACGUAGGGGGCAAGCGUUGUCCGGAAUGAUUGGGCGUAAAGGGCGCGUAGGCGGCCCGGUAAGUCUGGAGUGAAAGUCCUGCUGUUAAGGUGGGAAUUGCUUUGGAUACUGUCGGGCUUGAGUGCAGGAGAGGUAAGAGGAAUUCCCAGUGUAGCGGUGAAAUGCGUAGAGAUUGGGAGGAACACCAGUGGCGAAGGCGACUUACUGGACUGUAACUGACGUUGAGGCGCGAAAGCGUGGGGAGCAAACAGGAUUAGAUACCCUGGUA
rnacentral:rRNA from 1 species